rnacentral:rRNA from 1 species
AGGUUCGUCCGCCCAAGGUAAGCCGGGAGCUAAGGCGAGGCCGAAAGGCGUAGUCGAUGCACAUACGGUUGAAAUUCCGUAGCCGCCGAAAUUGUUAAGCACAGGGACACAUAGAGAUAUCCGAACCCGGGCGUUGGUUGACCCGGGCGCAAGGGACCGAACAUCAGUAGGGAAGUCGGAGAUGCUCUGUGGCGAGAAAAGCUGUGUGUAUUGAUUAGGCGCCCGUACCGCAAACCGACACAGGUAGAUGAGGAGAGAAUCCUAAGGCCAACGGGAGAAGGGUUGUUAAGAAACUCGGCAAAUUGACCCCGUAACUUCGGGAUAAGGGGAGCCUCCUACGGGAGGCCGCAGUGAAUAGGCCCAAGCAACUGUUUACCAAAAACACAGGUCUCUGCUAAAUCGAAAGAUGACGUAUAGGGGCUGACGCCUGCCCGGUGCCGGAAGGUUAAGAGGAGAGCUUAGCGCAAGCGAAGGUUCGAAUUGAAGCCCCGGUAAACGGCGGCCGUAACGAUAACGGUCCUAAGGUAGCGAAAUUCCUUGUCAGGUAAGUUCUGACCCGCACGAAUGGCGUAAUGAUUUGGGCACUGUCUCAACAGCCCGCCCGGCGAAAUUGUAGUACUGGUGAAGAUGCCAGUUACCCGCAACUAGACGGAAAGACCCCAUGGAGCUUUACUGUAGCCUAAUACUGAAGAUCGGUAAUGCAUGUACAGGAUAGGUGGGAGCCAGCGAAACCCGGGCGUCAGCUCGGAUGGAGGCAACCUUGGAAUACCACCCUUGUAUUGCUGGUUUUCUAACCUGCGGCCAUGAAUCUGGUCGGGGGACACUGUUAGGUGGGCAGUUUGACUGGGGCGGUCGCCUCCAAAAGCGUAACGGAGGCGCUCAAAGGUUGGCUCAGCACGGACGGAAAUCGUGCAUAGAGUGCAAACGCAUAAGCCAACUUUGACUGCGAGACCGACGGGUCGAGCAGGUACGAAAGUAGGAGUUAGUGAUCCGGUGGUAUGUGAGUGGAAAUGCCAUCGCUCAACGGAUAAAAGCUACCCUGGGGAUAACAGGCUGAUCUCCCCCAAGCGUCCACAGCGACGGGGAGGUUUGGCACCUCGAUGUCGGCUCGUCACAUCCUGGGGCUGUAUUCGGUCCCAAGGGUUCGGCUGUUCGCCGAUUAAAGUGGCACGCGAGCUGGGUUCAGAACGUCGUGAGACAGUUCGGUCCCUAUCUGUUGCGGGCGCAGGAGAUUUGAAGGGAGCUGUCCUUAGUACGAGAGGACCGGGAUGGACAGACCUCUGGUGCACCAGUUGUCGUGCCAACGGCACAGCUGGGUAGCUACGUCUGGACGAGAUAAACGCUGAAAGCAUCUAAGUGUGAAACUCCCCCUAAGAUAAGAUCUCCCAUCCAUUAGGAGUAAGGGACGACAGAGACUAUGUCGUUGAUAGGUCGGAAGUGUAAGUGCAGUAAUGCAUUGAGCUGACCGAUACUAAUAACCCGAGGGCUUGACC